GUUCGGAACAGUUGGAGCCCUUCUGAAUGUCCGUUUGAGCUCAAAUUUGACAGGCAGGCUCAGUUUAACGUACUGAGUAAGAAUAUAUUUUAAGUUUUCAGUUUCGACCCCAUUUGGUCACCGAAAACUGUGCCGAACUGUAAUCUUUAUCAGAUAGCUGUCGGAUUUUAUUUCUCACUCUACGGGUGUCAGAAAAAUAUGAAACUUUAAAUCUAGCCUCAUAAAAAUAUUUCUGACUUAUCCUCCAAUUUUCAUAAUUUUCUGAGACUGUGCAUUUUCUGCUAAUUUAUCUGUCCCGUUUCCAACAGAAAAUUCUAGAUCUUCUGUUUUCAUUCCGAUUUCAGCACAAGUCACUUCUGACUUAUAUUUUACUUCUAUAAAUCCAAUAAAAAUAGUUUCUCACACUAUUUUUAUUUAUUUUUAUUUUUAUACGAAAAUCUGGUAUGUUACAUUCUCCACCCCUUAAAAGAAUUUCGUCCGCGAAAUUCAAACCGCGCCUCAAUUUAGCUCCAUGAGCAAUUGAGAGUACCAACUCAUUCUCCCACUCCAAAGCUGCUUCACACAAUCGUGGUUCCAGAAGCGGCUCAUACUGAAGGACAUGGGUUUAAUCCUAAACGCAUUUGCAAAGUGUGAUACAAACGUGCAUCACGGGUCUUGCAAGUCAUAGUGGCAGCACAAGUCGGUACUCGACGACUCUACGCGCUCCAACACCACUCGCCUUUCGGUACACAAAGAACUCUUCUUUGCACUUACCCUUAGCUCAACACGAGAUGGCCCACUUCGGCAUAUCUUAAGUCUCAGUUCGCUUACGAGCAUAGUCUCGAACAUCAUGUGGCUUUCCACUAGUUUGAUGUCUCACAAGGAGUACUUCAUCAUCUGAUACCACAUGCCACGAUUAACAUCAAACUAUUUCUGCAACGAGCUCACACGAGCGCUUUGUUCGUGAAUUUGAGUCAAACUCCUUGAUAAGGCUAUCUGCCAAAUCGCUCUCUUCGGUCUCCACAGGUGGACCAUAGGCCACCAAUCCUACGUAGGCCUACCACCUAAACCUGUCUCAAUACGCAGCGUCUCUCGCUCGCAAAUGCAAACCCAAUCAUGAUCGGGAGAAAUUCUCACUUAGGAAUUCGCACACACUCCAACCAGGAGCAACUAAGACCCCAAACCACGUCAAGUCCUCGGGUUCACAACCAUACUCGGUGUAUCAUUGGUUACACAAUCUAUUGCGUGGCAUUCCACGCUCCCGGGCCUAAACUCGAACUACCGUCCUGACCAGAACUCUGCCCUACCCGUAGGUACCGGGCCGCUGUCACUCACAGCUAACUGCGCCUGCCCAAAGGGCCCAGGCUCUACAGUCCACAAAUGGUCCAGGCACGGGUCGUCCCUAAGCACUACCCGCCGUCGUCGUCCUACACGACAUACUCUACCGAGUCACACGUACCAAUAUCGACUCCUAUGCACCUAGUGCGAGUCACCAGUCCCACGAGUGAUCCAUGACACGCUUCGCACCCAGCAAUGCUCAAGUGCUACUGCCAAUACACUCUCUCAGCUGAAUCCACAUCCGCACUCUACGGGUCUCUACACUCGAGCGCUCUAUACGCCUCUAUAGCAUCCCACACUAAGUCCAGCAUUAGGCAAUCUUGCCUAUGCAUACCGGCCGCACGAGCACAAACGCCUACCUCACCUUGAGGUACUACUAGGCCCACGUGUUGAGACUUGGCCACUAAUCGACCGUUCUCUCAACAGUGAUGCCACUUUCACCGUUCGAUCUACCGGAAUGACAUCCAAAAUUUUCGGGCCACUCGGGUGUUCUCAUAAGCAUCAUGGCUCAACUCUCGCAAUCUACUAAUUAAGUUGCUCUGAGAGUCGAUUCGCCACUUCUGUCUCUACCAUGAGUCUCGCUUCUCGCCAUAAAUUACUUCUAGCACUUCACUAGUGCCAUCUGGCUCUAUACCUGUACUGGCAGGUACUACGCCCUCACAUAAUACAAAACUCCAUUUCUAGAGCAAUCAAAUCUAUUUCUAGAAAUCCACCAAGAGAGAGCUUAGAAGCUUACCUCUCCGAGAAGCUCCAACCAAGGAGAAGGUGAAGAAGAUGAGGAAGACCUCCUUCUCCUUCUCUUUCUUUCCUUUCCUUUCUUCUUCCUCUUCUUGUCUUCUAGAGAGAGAAAGAGAGAUAUGAGAGGGUGUGUGGGUGAGAAAUGAGAGAAAAGAGCUCUCAUACCCCUCACAUAGCCCCACAUGNN
rnacentral:lncRNA from 1 species